rnacentral:piRNA from 1 species
UGAAAAGUGUGAGAGUUGGGAAGUUUUCU